UACGGAGGGGGCAAGCGUUAUCCGGAUUCACUGGGUUUAAAGGGUGCGUAGGUGGGCUAGUAAGUCCGUGGUGAAAUCUCUGAGCUUAACUCGGAAACUGCCGUGGAUACUAUUAGUCUUGAAUCUCGUGGAGGUAAGCGGAAUAUGUCAUGUAGCGGUGAAAUGCUUAGAUAUGACAUAGAACACCGAUAGCGAAGGCAGCUUGCUACACGAGUAUUGACACUGAGGCACGAAAGCGUGGGGAUCAAACAGG
rnacentral:rRNA from 1 species